rnacentral:rRNA from 1 species
UACGUAGGGGGCAAGCGUUGUCCGGAUUUAUUGGGCGUAAAGAGCGUGUAGGCGGCCCGGUAAGUCCGCUGUGAAAGUCGGGGGCUCAACCCUCGAAUGCCGGUGGAUACUGUCGGGCUAGAGUGCGGAAGAGGCGAGUGGAAUUCCCAGUGUAGCGGUGAAAUGCGUAGAUAUUGGGAGGAACACCAGUGGCGAAGGCGGCUCACUGGACCGGUACUGACGCUGAUGCGCGAAAGCGUGGGAGCAAACGGG